AUUACUGGAUUCUCUUGGUGUUUAGAUUUCUAAGAUUUUCUAGCACCAUUUGAAUUCAGUUCAU
rnacentral:pre_miRNA from 1 species